CCUCGGGCGACUGUGCCGCGACUCUCUUAUCCUCUUGUCCGGCGAGCCACCCUCCACUCCGUGGCCAUGCCAUCUACUCCUUACCUGCCUCACCUUAUCCCCUCCUCCCAUCUCUCCAGUCUGCCUCUCAGUGCUCCCGUGCUCCUCUGGCGCCCGCACCUAGAUCUGGCCGCCUAGGGUUCGCUGCCGCCUAAGAUGGUGACUAUGGAGCUCGCCGCCACUGGAUCCGGCGGCCAAGUCCUUGACCAGAUGCCACAGUCAAGGAGGAAGCAGGGUCAAGAAGAGGCGGCGCCGUCCCAGGCUGGUGCGAGAAGCGCGCUGGUCCUCCUUCCGGCCAGUGGCUACCUCGCUCUAGGCCUGCUCCUGGGGUAAUGUUGAGCGACGAUGGCGGCGAAAACCACCUUGGGCACGAAGGAGAAGUAUGGUGACCGAUCAUUGGGGGUAGGGAAGCAUCGAUCCAGAGGCUGCAACUAAUUUCUGGGCUGAUUUGAGCUGCCUCCUUGCCACCACGGCCGAAGGUGUAAGCGGGUGAUGGUGUUGCUAAAACUCAAAGCCACCAAUGCAACUCCCACAACUCGACCAUACCUCAGUCUUGAUAUUCUUCCUUAAUCCCACGUGUUUCUAUUGGAAAGUACUCAGUGGUUAACGGAUUGUUCGUUUCAUGAUGUGCUUAGUGAGAUUGAUAAUUUUUUAGUACGGGUUGAACACGUCUUAGGUUGGUCAGACUAUCCACACACUGGCAUGUAUAUCCAUAUAGUGUUUAUUCCUUAAGCAGGUUGAUAUUUUCAAGUAAUUGCCUUAAUAGCAGAAAAUAGUGUACCGAUGAAUAGAAUAAUAUGAAUAUUGCCCUGUCUAACAUUUCAUCUCUCCAUGCUCUGGCAAGUGCUGCUUCAUCCCUCAAAUUGACUGAUGUAACCAAAUUAAAAUUGUAUGCACACGAGAAAAAAAGAUCGCCAAUAUGCACAUCCCCUGUAACAAAAAAAUGUUUGAGCUGGUAGUAUAUGGUAUUUGAGCAAAAUGUUUUGUAUAGAUAUUAAUAGGUGGAACUCAGCAAUCAACAAUUACUAUAAAACUAUUGGCUGGUUAUAAGUUCAGCAACAUGUAUUCCUCAUUUGUUAGUUAAGCAUAUUGAAAAGUAGUAUCAUGAUUACUUUUGUUCUUUAUAUCUUUUUCGUUCGUGAAAGUAAAGCCUUCCUGCAGAGUGAUCAACUAAUUUUGAUGGUAAUUCACAUAUAUUCUGGUUGCCCAAUUUUGCAGGAAGCCAAUGUACAUGGGAUUUAUGAAAUAUAAAUUUCUGCCUCUAUGCGCCAUGUGAUUUGUUUAGUUUAUUUUUAGACCUGGGAACUUUUAUCAAAUGGAGUUCAAUCCGGCACUGAAACUUUGUUCCAGUAUAUUACUAUAACUCUCUGUUCCGUACAAUCAUUGUUAUUUCAAACAAGACUGACAAUUUUUUAUCAUGGGACAUGUAUUGGUCCUUAAUAAGUGUCAAAUGAACUUCCUCCUUUCCCAGCCAUUGAUGCAAUCCAAAUAUUAAGAUGCACUGUUUAAGUGAACAUGGAUUGCUUAUGUAGGUGCAUACUGAACUACUAACUGCAGUUUCUGAAUUUAUGGAUUGUGUGCAAAGUUUUCAUUGUUUCUGCAGGAGAGAUAUGCAUGAGGACUAAUAAACAAGUGGAGAGGGUUCGCUCCAACGGGAUGUUUUGUAUAUUUGUACAUUGGGCAUUCACCUCUUAGGUAUCCUUUUGUGAGUCUGAUGUAUGGUCUCUUGGACAAUGAAUCAGAAAUAAUAGUACCACCAAGUUACCUUUUGUGAACAUGAUGUAUGGUGUCUUGGUGAUUAUGUUUUGAACAAAUGAACUAUAUGUAUGUGACAUUUAAUGGAAUAGAAAAUGUUUCG